AGAGUUUGAUCCUGGCUCAGAGUGAACGCUGGCGGCGUGCCUAAUACAUGCAAGUCGAACGAUGAAGCUCUAGCUUGCUAGAGUGGAUUAGUGGCGCACGGGUGAGUAAUGCAUAGAUAACAUGCCCUUUAGUCUAGGAUAGCCAUUGGAAACGAUGAUUAAUACUGGAUACUCCUUACGAGGGAAAGUUUUUCGCUAAAGGAUUGGUCUAUGUCCUAUCAGCUUGUUGGUGAGGUAAUGGCUCACCAAGGCUAUGACGGGUAUCCGGCCUGAGAGGGUGAACGGACACACUGGAACUGAGACACGGUCCAGACUCCUACGGGAGGCAGCAGUAGGGAAUAUUGCUCAAUGGGGGAAACCCUGAAGCAGCAACGCCGCGUGGAGGAUGAAGGUUUUCGGAUUGUAAACUCCUUUUGUUAGAGAAGAUAAUGACGGUAUCUAACGAAUAAGCACCGGCUAACUCCGUGCCAGCAGCCGCGGUAAUACGGAGGGUGCAAGCGUUACUCGGAAUCACUGGGCGUAAAGAGCGCGUAGGCGGGAUAGCAAGUCAGAUGUGAAAUCCUAUGGCUUAACCAUAGAACUGCAUUUGAAACUGUUAUUCUAGAGUAUGGGAGAGGUAGGUGGAAUUCUUGGUGUAGGGGUAAAAUCCGUAGAGAUCAAGAGGAAUACUCAUUGCGAAGGCGACCUGCUAGAACAUAACUGACGCUGAUGCGCGAAAGCGUGGGGAGCAAACAGGAUUAGAUACCCUGGUAGUCCACGCCCUAAACGAUGAAUGCUAGUUGUUGUGGAGCUUGUCUCUGCAGUAAUGCAGCUAACGCAUUAAGCAUUCCGCCUGGGGAGUACGGUCGCAAGAUUAAAACUCAAAGGAAUAGACGGGGACCCGCACAAGCGGUGGAGCAUGUGGUUUAAUUCGAAGAUACACGAAGAACCUUACCUAGGCUUGACAUUGAUAGAAUCCGCUAGAGAUAGUGGAGUGCUAGCUUGCUAGAACUUGAAAACAGGUGCUGCACGGCUGUCGUCAGCUCGUGUCGUGAGAUGUUGGGUUAAGUCCCGCAACGAGCGCAACCCUCGUCCUUAGUUGCUAACUAUUCGGUAGAGCACUCUAAGGAGACUGCCUUCGCAAGGAGGAGGAAGGUGAGGAUGACGUCAAGUCAUCAUGGCCCUUACGCCUAGGGCUACACACGUGCUACAAUGGGAAGCACAAAGAGAUGCAAUAUUGUGAAAUGGAGCAAAUCUAUAAAACUUCUCUCAGUUCGGAUUGUAGUCUGCAACUCGACUACAUGAAGCUGGAAUCGCUAGUAAUCGUAAAUCAGCUAUGUUACGGUGAAUACGUUCCCGGGUCUUGUACUCACCGCCCGUCACACCAUGGGAGUUGUAUUCGCCUUAAGUCGGAAUGCCAAACUGGCUACCGCCCACGGCGGAUGCAGCGACUGGGGUGAAGUCGUAACAAGGUAACCGUA
rnacentral:rRNA from 1 species